AUUGAACGCUGGCGGCAGGCCUAACACAUGCAAGUCGAACGAGUGGCGGACGGGUGAGUAAUGUCUGGGAAACUGCCUGAUGGAGGGGGAUAACUACUGGAAACGGUAGCUAAUACCGCAUACCAUGGGAUGUGCCCAGAUGGGAUUAGCUAGGAGGUGGGGUAAAGGCUCACCUAGGCGACGAUCCCUAGCUGGUCUGAGAGGAUGACCAGCCACACGGGAACUGAGACACGGUCCAGGCUCCUACGGGAGGCAGCAGUGGGGAAUAGUGAACAAUGGGCGAAAGCCUGAGGCAGCCAUGCCGCGUGUAUGAAGAAGGCCUGCGGGUUGUAAAGUACUUUCAGCGGGGAGGCGUUACCCGCAGAAGAAGCACCGGCUAACUCCGUGCCAGCAGCCGCGGUAAUUC
rnacentral:rRNA from 1 species